rnacentral:rRNA from 1 species
GUGAGGAAUAUUGGACAAUGGGUGGAAGCCUGAUCCAGCCAUCCCGCGUGUAGGAUGACGGCCUUAUGGGUUGUAAACUACUUUUAUCUGGGGAUAAACCUACUCACGUGUGAGUAGCUGAAGGUACCAGAAGAAUAAGCACCGGCUAACUCCGUGCCAGCAGCCGCGGUAAUACGGAGGGUGCAAGCGUUAUCCGGAUUUAUUGGGUUUAAAGGGUCCGUAGGCGGAUUAAUCAGUCAGUGGUGAAAUCUCAUAGCUUAACUAUGAAACUGCCAUUGAUACUGUUAGUCUUGAGUGAUGUUGAAGUUGCUGGAAUGUGUAGUGUAGCGGUGAAAUGCUUAGAUAUUACGCAGAACACCAAUUGCGAAGGCAGGUGACUAAACAUCAACUGACGCUGAUGGACGAAAGCGUGGGGAGCGAACAGG